CAGCCGCCACGGUAAUACAGAGGGUGCGAGCGUUAAUCGGAUUUACUGGGCGUAAAGCGUGCGUAGGCGGCUUCUUAAGUCGGAUGUGAAAUCCCUGAGCUUAACUUAGGAAUUGCAUUCGAUACUGGGAAGCUAGAGUAUGGGAGAGGAUGGUAGAAUUCCAGGUGUAGCGGUGAAAUGCGUAGAGAUCUGGAGGAAUACCGAUGGCGAAGGCAGCCAUCUGGCCUAAUACUGACGCUGAGGUACGAAAGCAUGGGGAGCAAACAGGAUUAGAUACCCCUGUAGUCCCUGUCUCUUAUAC
rnacentral:rRNA from 1 species